CCUACGCGCGUCCGCAGUGGGGAAUAUUGGGCAAUGGGCGCAAGCCUGACCCAGCAACGCCGCGUGCAGGAAGACGGCUCUAUUAGUUGUAAACUGCUUUUGUACGAGGGUAAACGCAGAUACGCGUAUCUGUCUGAACGUAUCGUACGAAUAAGUAUCGGCUAACUCCGUGCCAGCAGCCGCGGUAAUACGGAGGAUUCAAGCGUUAACCGGAUUUCUUGGGUUUAAAGGGUGCGUAGGCGGUCGGAUAAGUUAGAGGUGAAAUCCCGAGGCUCAACUUCGGAAUUGCCUCUGAUACUGUUCGGCUAGAGAGUAGUUGCGGUAGGCGGAAUGUAUGGUGUAGCGGUGAAAUGCUUAGAGAUCAUACAGAACACUGAUUGCGAAGGCAGCUUACCAAGCUACUUCUGACGUUGAGGCACGAAAGCGUGGGGAGCAAACAGGAUUAGAUACCCGAGUAGUC
rnacentral:rRNA from 1 species